CGUUGUAUGUUCUCUGCUCACCUGGAAGGUAUCUGGAUUGCUUCAAGUAGUACUGCUUAGCGGUGGAAGCAGUCGACAGUUCAGAAUCCGAUUUCUGGGAAACGGCAGCGGGUAAGCUCUUGUUUUCCCCUGCUGACUGGUGCGAGGCUGAGGGCACCGACUCUGGAAGCCUUGAAAGUCCACAGAAGGUGGCAUCACUACUUGAAACAUGAGACGACGGCCGCUACGGCGUCCCCCACCCGCCCCCUGCGCGUCUCUUCAAACCGGGCAAGGCCACCCCACUCAACACGGUUGCCGUCAGAGUCCUUUUGCUGACUCUCCCGACUUCUCCCCCGAAGGGUAUCAGGCAGCCUCUGGAAUCAUUUCUGAUACCAGCCAUGAUGUGACAGAAAGCCUUAUCGCCGAGCAGCAAACUGCCUGCGUCUAAUGUUUCUGGCUCCCCAGCCCCGGCUGCGGUGGUGGGUUUAUCCCGUGGGAGGACCGUCGUGGCCACCGUCCCUGCCUACUCACGUAACGUCUGAUCAGUAAGGCCGUCUGGGUCCCCCUCGGAGGCUGACGCUGGCCUGGCUGGCCCUCUGAGCUGCUGGCUGCCCCCGCCCGCUCAGCGGUAGUUCUAGACACAGGCAGGGGGCCCCUUUCAUUCGAAACGGCCCCACCCGUUCCUGCCUCCUUUCCCUUUGGCUCAGCCCAUUGCAGUCAUGCCAGCCGCUGAGAUUCGCCCCGCUUUCAAGACGGCUCAUUCCAGAAAGCCUCCUCUCCUCGAAGUGCUCUGCUGCCCGUAAACAGGACUUUUGAGCUCUUUGCAGGCUCGUUCGUUAGCAGCACUCCGUGCACGCUCUGCUCUGAUGUCAUGCUGACUCGAAGGUCUUAUUUCUGCCGCUGUACGUUUGAUGGGCUGCAGACAGACCACAUCCUGUUCCUGCCGUGGCUUAAUACAUCUCUGUAUUUAGUAAACGUCUACCGAGCGUGCGCGCAAGUGGAAAACAGUAAAUAAUUUAUAAAGUGAAAUAUUAUGAGGAUUGACUGUAAUUGGAGCAUUUCAUGGUACGACUUGAUAAAGCAUGCGGAUUUCAGAUGGGAAUCGUGGGAUCGUAUUUCAUCAGGGUACGCUCAAAACUUAACAAGAGCCCUUCCCUCCACGCGCCUGCAGCACUCAGCCAUUAAUACUGAGCAUCUUUACCGUGAGAAGCCAAGAUUCUUACCUUCCCAGAGUUUUAGAUGCCUCAGUGCUUUCAAGGCUCUACUCAGAUCUACGCAGGUGAGGCCUCGUUCCCCAUUUUACGAACUGGGACCGUGAGACACACACGUGAUUUUGCCACCCGCAAGACACGAUGAGCAUUUUGUAAAAUAAAAACACCGGUAAUAAUAUUGCAUGAUUCCACCGAGCCUCAUCUCCGUCCUCAUGUUUUACCCACUUCCCGGAGGCCACAGCUUUCGUGAGUUGUAUGUGUUGCUUUCCAGGUCUUUCAAACCAUUUUAUAUAUAAAUUUACAUAUAAUGAAGUAUUUGUGUGAGUGCAUACAAUUAUUUAAUUUACAAAUAGGGAUGAUUUCAUCUCAUUUUGGCUAAUACUUAUCCCCCCCUUUUUUUUCUCAUUGCAUUAAUUAGGUCAUCAAUGCAAUCUUAAUUAGUAGAAAUAUGGCAAGCAGUCUGGCCUUAAAACCAACUCUACUGGCAAUACUUCUGAUAUUUUGACAUAAAGAUGAUGCGGCGUAUAAGUCUUAUCAAGUUAGGGAAGUUUCUUUUUAUUCCUAUUUGCUAAGAGGUUUUUUUUUUUUUUUUUUUUUUUCCCCAGUCAUGAAUGGGUAUUGAAUUUUACUAAACCCACUCGGUAAAUAUUUCAUUUCAGUUAUGGUACAUUGUACAUUUAUUUGAUAAUAAUGGCUACUGUCAAUAUUUUAUAAAACUAUUUCCUUAAACAUGUAAUGUUUUAGAUCAUGACAUUUUAGAGUUUUUAACGCUUGAUGAGCAUUUGUUAAAGCAUUUAAAUUUCAAAUUGCCAUCACUUGGCUGAUUUGGCAAUUGGUCUCCAAGACUCGUUCUGAAGGAAGGUAACAGCCACGUCAUGAGAAUAUUCAAGCGACCCUCUGUGGAGGCCCAUGUGAAGAGGCCACUUCUCAGCCAGUGAGUGAGUGUUCUGGGCUAAACUGUGCCCACCCCUGCACACAAACCCAUAUGCUGAAGUCCUAACCCCCAGCACCUCAGACUGUGACUUGAUUUGGAAACGGACCUUUACAGUGGCAGUGAGGGUAAAAUGAAGUUAUUAGGGUGGAACUUAUUCCAGUGUGACUGGUGUUCUUACAAAAGGGGGAAAUUUGCACACAGAGAUAUGCACGGAAGGAAGAUCAUGUGGAAGACAGACAGGGAGAAAAUGCCAUCUAGAAGCCAACGAGAGGGACCUCGAACAGAUCCUUCCUGCAUGGCCCUCAGAAGGAGCCAAGCCUUCUGACACCUUGAUUUUAGACUUCCAGCCUCCAGAACUGAAAAUCUGUACAUUUCUCUCGUUUCAGCCGCACAGUCUGUAGCUUCCGCUUUGUUACAGCAGCCUAUUUAUUGGCUACAUUUCCCCCCACCAAAUCCACGUUGAAGUUCUAACUCCCAGGAACUGAGUGUGAUUGUAUUUAAAAGACAGACUUGAACGAAUUAAUUAAGGUUACGUGAGGUCUUUAGGGUGGGUCCUAAUCUGAUAUUACUAGUGUCCUUAUAAGGAGAUCAGGACACCUUGAGAGGACACAGGGAGAACACGGCCAUCUGGGAGCCGAGAAGAGAGGCGACGGAAGAAACCAACUCGGCUGACGCCUUCAUCUCUGACUUCCAGCCUCCAGAGCUGUGAAGAAGGCAACCUCCUGUUUCAGACACUUGGUCUGUGCUCCUUCUUUAUAGCAGCCCUAGGAAUCUCAUCUAGUGAGCCACCUUCGAAGUGGACGCUCCGUCCCAGUCCAGCCUUCGGAUGACUGUGACUCGUGAGACACCUGGAGCCAGAACCGUCCAGCUAAGCUCCCCCGAAACUCCUGACCCACACAAAGUGUGAAUUA